rnacentral:rRNA from 1 species
UACAGAGGUGGCAAGCGUUGUUCGGAAUUACUGGGCGUAAAGGGCGAGUAGGUGGCCAUCUAAGUCAGACGUGAAAUCCCUCGGCUUAACCGGGGAACUGCGUCUGAUACUGGAUGGCUUGAGUUUGGGAGAGGGAUGCGGAAUUCCAGGUGUAGCGGUGAAAUGCGUAGAUAUCUGGAGGAACACCGGUGGCGAAGGCGGCAUCCUGGACCAACACUGACACUGAGGAGCGAAAGCCAGGGGAGCAAACGGG